rnacentral:lncRNA from 1 species
AAAUGAGAAAAUAUUUUAGGGGUCAAUCAGGAAAACAAAACAAAAUGAAGCCCAAAACUCUCAUGGGAGUCAAUAAGCCAGCAGACAACUCACCUCUCUCUUCCCAGCCCACUACAAUGAGGGCGAAGACACGGAGACCGGGAAUCUCCAUCACCCUAGGGCUACUUGGCUGUAUUCCUUCUUCUUCCUUCCACAUCCCUUUUUGAGGCUUUUCAGCUUUGUCUAAUUGGUCUUGUUUUUAAAGUUGCAAAUCGACUGAGGAUCUAUCUUUCGUGAUUCUUGACACACCCUGGGUAUUUAAAUAGAUGCUUUGAAAAUAAAAGGUUUCAUUUACAUGGUAAGUCUGGACA